ACGGAGGGUGCAAGCGUUGUCCGGAUUUAUUGGGUUUAAAGGGUGCGUAGGCGGUUUAUUAAGUCAGUGGUGAAAGACGGUCGCUCAACGAUUGCAGUGCCAUUGAUACUGGUAGACUUGAGUGGGAUUGAGGUAGCUGGAAUGGAUAGUGUAGCGGUGAAAUGCAUAGAUAUUAUCCAGAACACCAAUUGCGUAGGCAAGUUACUAAGUCUCAACUGACGCUGAGGCACGAAAGUGUGGGUAUCAAACAGGAUUAGAUACCCUGGUAGUCCACACUGUAAACGAUGAUAACUAACUGUUGGCUUUCGGGUCAGUGGUACAGAGAAAUCGUUAAGUUAUCCACCUGGGGAGUACGCCGGCAACGGUG
rnacentral:rRNA from 1 species